CAUUUCUUUUUGUUUAUAAUAUAAAGUUUGGCCUGCUCAAUGAAGAUUUUAAAUAGCUGCGGUAUUUUGACCGUACAAAGGUAGCAUAAUCAUUAGUUUUUUAAUUGAAAGCUAGAAUGAAUGGUUUAACGAGAAAAUAGCUGUCUAUUUUAAUUAUUAGAAUUUAAUUUUUAAGUUAAAAAGCUUAAAUAAAUUUAAAAGACGAGAAGACCCUAUAGAUCUUUAUAAAAUUUAUAAUAUUAAAUUUUUAGGUUAUUAAAUUUUUUAUUAUAAAUUUUAUUUUAUUGGGGUGAUAUAAAGAUUAAAUAAACUCUUUAGAUUUAAAUUAAUUAUUUUUAUUUUUUGAUCCAUUUUAAUGAUUAUAAGAUUAAGUUACCUUAGGGAUAACAGCGUAAUUUUUUUGUAGAGUUCAUAUCGAUAAAAAAGAUUGCGACCUCGAUGUUGGAUUAAGAAAUGAUUUGGGGGCAAAAGUUCAAAUUCAAGGUCUGUUCGACCUUUAAAUUCUUACAUGAUCUGAGU
rnacentral:rRNA from 1 species